CUCACCACACCCAAUAACCCACAUCUCUACGUUUCGGCCCACUCUCUCCUUAACCCAAAAGUCUCAGGCGAAGCCAAACAAUCCAUUUUGAUCCCGCAACUCCGAUCACCGUCAUCCACUGUCCACCGUCUCCGCCCAUGAGUACUCCAGCAGUUCCGGGGAGCUCUGGUUUGUUUACUGGAUUCACCAAGCUAUGCAAGGGCUUAGCCGUCGUGCUAAUUGGCGGGCAUAUCUUGGUUCAGGUUUUUCCUGCGGCUGUUAACUAUCUUGCUCUUAUUCCAGCCAGGACAAUACCUUUUGCCUGGAAUCUCUUAACUGCUGGUUAUGUUGAACAGUCAGUAUAUGGGGUUGUUGUCAGCACAGUUGGUCUUCUUUUUGUUGGGAAGCUGCUUGAACCCAUAUGGGGCUCUAGAGAAUUUUUGAAGUUCAUCUUUAUAGUCAAUUUUCUAACUUCUUUAUGUGUUUUUAUCACAGCGAUUGCCCUGUACUAUAUUACGCAGGAGGAAAUUUAUCUUUAUUUCCCUGUAUCUGGUUUCUAUGGGAUUCUAGCUGGGUUCUUGGUUGGGAUCAAACAAAUCAUACCUGAUCAAGAGUUACCUGUAGUGAAACUAAGAGCUAAGUGGUUACCGUCUCUUGCUGUAUUUGUAUCCAUUGCUGUAAGCUUUUGGACAACUGGGGCAGCAACAUAUCUUCCAACAAUAAUAUUUGGGACAUACAUCAGCUGGAUUUAUCUGAGAUACUGGCAGAGGAAACCUGAAGCAAAACUGAAAGGCGAUCCAAGUGAUGAUUUUGCAUUCUCUACACUCUUCCCUGAACUUUUACGGCCAGUCAUUGAUCCAGUUGCAUCAGUAAUUCAUCGUCUUCUUUGUGGAAGAUCUGAAUCCCCUAACAAUGCUGAGGACUAUACUGCUGGAGGCACCCCGCUGCCCGGUUCAGAUCCCAUUGAGGCAUCUCGAAGGAGAGAACGGGGAGCUAGAGCUUUGGAAGAAAGACUGGCUGCAGCCAGAAGUGCUCAAGAGUCGGGAAGGGAUGCAACGGAUAGCGUCUGAUUGAUUAUAUGUGGUCAUCUGCUAGGGCCUAUGUUUGUUGAUUAACUUGGGGACUGUGCAGUACAUCAAGAGAUUAGCUGCAAACCAGACUUGGUCCAGAUGAAGUAACUUUCAAGAUUCAAGAAUAAUCCCCAAACCGAUGCUCGCCGCCGUCGCCUCCGCCGCCUUUGCUGGCAACGAUGAGGCCGAAGAGGGUGAAGCCCAAAAGCGUAGCAAUGAGCAGCAA